AUUGAACGCUGGCGGCAGGCUUAACACAUGCAAGUCGGACGGUAACAGGGAGGAAGCUUGCUUUCUUUGCUGACGAGUGGCGGACGGGUGAGUAAUGCUUGGGAAUCUGUUUUAUGGAGGGGGAUAACUACGGGAAACUGUAGCUAAUACCGCGUAAUAUCGAGAGAUUAAAGUGUGGGACCGUAAGGCCACAUGCCAUAGAGUGAGCCCAAGUGGGAUUAGGUAGUUGGUGGGGUAAAGGCCUACCAAGCCGCCGAUCUCUAGCUGGUCUGAGAGGAUGACCAGCCACACUGGGACUGAGACACGGCCCAGACUCCUACGGGAGGCAGCAGUGGGGAAUAUUGCACAAUGGGCGCAAGCCUGAUGCAGCCAUGCCGCGUGAAUGAAGAAGGCCUUCGGGUUGUAAAGUUCUUUCGGUGGUGAGGAAGGUUGUAAUGUUAAUAGCAUUAUAAUUUGACGUUAGCCACAGAAGAAGCACCGGCUAACUCCGUGCCAGCAGCCGCGGUAAUACGGAGGGUGCGAGCGUUAAUCGGAAUAACUGGGCGUAAAGGGCACGCAGGCGGAUACUUAAGUGAGGUGUGAAAGCCCUGGGCUUAACCUAGGAAUUGCAUUUCAUACUGGGUAUCUAGAGUAUUUUAGGGAGGGGUAGAAUUCCACGUGUAGCGGUGAAAUGCGUAGAGAUGUGGAGGAAUACCGAAGGCGAAGGCAGCCCCUUGGGGGAAUACUGACGCUCAUGUGCGAAAGCGUGGGGAGCAAACAGG
rnacentral:rRNA from 1 species